rnacentral:rRNA from 1 species
AAGGGCACCACAAGAACGCGUGGAGCAUGUGGCUUAAUUUGACUCAACGCGGGGAAUCUUACCGGGUCCGGACACACUGAGGAUUGACAGGCGUUUACUUGUUUUGCGGGCUUUCGUGUCUUCGGACGUGGGAGCUUUUUGCAAUUCAAGUAUAGCAAAUAUGCUAGUCCUUUCAUGAUUGUGUGAUAGGUGGUGCAUGGCCGUUCUUAGUUCGUGGAGUGAUCUGUCUGCUUAAUUGCGUUUCACAUAUAUGAACGAAAGGGUCCCGCCUGUGUCUGUGGUACGCCACGGAUACGGCUUUUAUGUGGACUUCUAAACGUUCUGAAGGCAACGAACGUGACCGCAACCUCUAGUUGCUCGUCUUCAAGGGCUUUCUUCUUGUUGGUGUACUUGUAUGCCGGCAUGGAANGGGUCCAAUACGCACGAUGCUAACUAGAGGGACCGCUAGUAACUUUCAAACAGAGGAAGGUUGCGGCAAUAACAGGUCUGUGAUGCCCUUAGAUGUUCCGGGCUGCACACGUGCUACAAUGAUUGUUGCAAUAAGCAUCUCUCCCAUUGUAUGUCCUCUUCUUUAUCUCCGGAUAGGAAGAGAGACACCACAUUACCGGCCGCGUUUCGGUGUACUGGUUGCUUUCCCUUGGUGCUUGCAUUGGGGGUAAGGCGCUGGUCGCUGAUUUGCUGGCUUGUGUUUUGUGUCGACCUACUUCGAAAGUGUUUAGGCAAUCACUUAGAAGUAACAACCCAGUUUCCCGCCACUUUAUACGUCUCUUGCGCUGCUCCUCAUUAUUCACUCCUUCCGCCAUCGGGUGGUUGGUUUAAGAUUUGGGGUUUAUAUGUAGCCUUGAUGAUGUCGUGCUCCAUUAAUUCGUUGUGGGGACAGACCAUUGCUAAUUGUUGGUCUCGGUCUCAACUAGGAAUGCCUUGUACGGGUCUUGGUUCAACAAACCAC